UGAGCAACUCAGGUAGCAACUCAGCAUAGGUCAUCGGUAACGGGUCAAAACGUCGAUCAGGCAUCCUCUGUCUCGGCUGAUACGGACGUUGCUGUUGUUGUUGUUGUGGUGGCGGUCGUUGUUGAACCCUCUGUUGUUGCUGUUGUCGAGGUUGAGGUGUUGGAAUAGUUACAGCAACAACCUGGCGAUACUGAUUUCUAUUUACAUUUCUUCCACUGUGUUGCACAACACUGGUUUCACC
rnacentral:lncRNA from 1 species